rnacentral:rRNA from 1 species
GAUGAACGCUGGCGGCGUGCCUAAUACAUGCAAGUCGAGCGAACGGACGAGAAGCUUGCUUCUCUGAUGUUAGCGGCGGACGGGUGAGUAACACGUGGAUAACCUACCUAUAAGACUGGGAUAACUUCGGGAAACCGGAGCUAAUACCGGAUAAUAUUUUGAACCGCAUGGUUCAAAAGUGAAAGACGGUCUUGCUGUCACUUAUAGAUGGAUCCGGGCUGCAUUAGAUAGUUGGUAAGGUAACGGCUUACCAAGGCAACGAUGCAUAGCCGACCUGAGAGGGGGAUCGGCGACCCUGGAACUGAGACACGGUCAAGACCCCUACGGGAGGCAGCAGUAGGGAAUCUGCCGCAAUGGGCGAAAGCCUGACGGAGCAACGCCGCGUGAGUGAUGAAGGUCUUCGGAUCGUAAAACUCUGUUAUUAGGGAAGAACAUAUGUGUAAGUAACUGUGCACAUCUUGACGGUACCUAAUCAGAAAGCCACGGCUAACUACGUG